rnacentral:rRNA from 1 species
AGUGAACGCUGGCGGUAGGCCUAACACAUGCAAGUCGAACGGCAGCACAGUAAGAGCUUGCUCUUACGGGUGGCGAGUGGCGGACGGGGGAGGAAUACAUCGGAACCUACUUUUUCGUGGGGGAUAACGUAGGGAAACUUACGCUAAUACAGCAUACGACCUACGGGUGAAAGCAGGGGAGCUUCGGACCUUGCGCGAUUGAAUGAGCCGAUGUCGGAUUAGCUAGUUGGCGGGGUAAAGGCCCACCAAGGCGACGAUCCGUAGCUGGUCUGAGAGGAUGAUCAGCCACACUGGAACGGAAACACGGUCCAGACUCCUACGGGAGGCAGCGGUGGGGAAUAUUGGACAAUGGGCGCAAGCCUGAUCCAGCCGUACCGCGUGGGUGAAGAAGGCCUUGGGGUUGUGAAGCCCUUUUGUUGGGAAAGAAAAGCAGCGGGUUAAUACCCCGCUGUUCUGACGGUACCCAAAGAAUAAGCCCCGGCUAACUUCGUG